CCUACGGGAAGCAGCAGUGAGGAAUAUUGGUCAAUGGGCGCGAGCCUGAACCAGCCAAGUAGCGUGAAGGAUGACUGCCCUACGGGUUGUAAACUUCUUUUAUAAAGGAAUAAAGUGAGGCACGUGUGCCUUUUUGUAUGGACUUUAUGAAUAAGGAUCGGCUAACUCCGUGCCAGCAGCCGCGGUAAUACGGAGGAUCCGAGCGUUAUCCGGAUUGAUUGGGGUUACAGGGAGCGUAGAUGGGUUGUUUAGUCAGUUGUGAAAGUUUGCGGCUCCACCGUAAAAUUGCAAUUGAUACUGGCAGCCUUGCGUACCGUUGAGGUAGGCGGAAUUCGUGGUGUAGCUG
rnacentral:rRNA from 1 species